GUAUAUGUUUCUGUACAUGGCUUGGCAUGAGAUUUAUAACAAAACGCACCAUUAAAACAGUGUUUUGAAACCCUAGUUUUUUACAAAAUGUGUUCUCAGAACGCUGCAAAUUUGGCUUUCCGGGAUUCAAAUUUUAAAAUUUUCCCGUGCCUUCGGCACGAGGCCCCCAAUAUUUCGUAAAGUGUCGCCACUGGUAUUUUCAUUAAAAUUAUCAAAAGUUAAAUGUCAGUAUAUGCUGUUUCUUCUGAAAUCUACAGUCCUACAGAUUUCAAGCUC